UACGAAGGGGGCUAGCGUUGCUCGGAAUCACUGGGCGUAAAGCGCACGUAGGCGGAUUAUUAAGUCAGGGGUGAAAUCCUGGAGCUCAACUCCAGAACUGCCUUUGAUACUGGCGAUCUCGAGUCCGGGAGAGGUGAGUGGAACUGCGAGUGUAGAGGUGAAAUUCGUAGAUAUUCGCAAGAACACCAGUGGCGAAGGCGGCUCACUGGCCCGGUACUGACGCUGAGGUGCGAAAGCGUGGGGAGCAAACAGG
rnacentral:rRNA from 1 species